GAGAUUGUGCCUGAAGACCGAGAAUAAGAGUAUAUCGAACUCCUAGUACUGUGAGCAACCUUAUCAUCAUUUUAAUUAUCUAAAGUAUGUUUUUAAUCGGUUUUGGUGGAAUUUUAUGAAAAUGAGUUUAAAUGGUAAAUUUUUGAUUUUAUAAAUAAAAUAUGUUUAAAUAAAAUGAUUUUAUAAAUUGUCUUGAAAUGAAAUAACGAUUUUGAAAAAUAGAGUAAUUGGAUACCACUGGUAUGUUGUAAAUUUAUGAUUGGAAUUGAUGGCUUAUGUUAAUGUGUUGGCAUGACUGGCUGGGCUGUGUUUUAUGAAUUAUAUGAAUUGCUUUAUUUUACCCUUGCAGGUUGGGUAGUAAUAUAUUAGCCCUGUCAUGCUGUCAAAAUUUUAUUGUAUGGUGGGUGUAGCUUACUGUAGUAGGCUGAUUUUCGUGGACUAGCCUAUUAGAGAGGCACGAUAAACCCCGUUAUAUUUUAUCUCAAUUGGAGAGGCGAGUAGGGUAACUCCCGAGGUAUAACUUUUAGAGUUCACUUCACUCCAAACCACCACUUGAGGGGGAACUCGGCCAACACCAAGGAAUGACUAUGUUUUCAAAAUAAAAACAUGAUUUAUGCGUACAUGACUUUCUAAUAGCCUUAGCGGACUCAAUUGAGAUAGCCCUCGACCAAGGUAUCCCAAAUAAUUGAGUAUGAUAAUAAUUUUUGGCAUGAGCCAAGCUUUUAAAAAAUUCAUGAGCCAUACUGAUUACUUGAUUUAAAUAAAUUGAUUUCAUUUUGUUGAAAUAAGUUGAAAGAUGAUAAAUUACAGUUUGAUGAAAUGUUUUAAUAGUCUCUUUUUACUCACCUUUAGAUAUUUUAAAUGAUAUUUGUUUACUCAUUGGGAUUUCAUAAUCUCACCAUCCUCCUUUCUACCCAUUUAAGGCUCAGAAUAGAUUGUAGAUAACUGAUAUCGGCGAGGACUACAGUUGGACUUGCCACAUCCAAAAACUGUAGGUUCAUUUCUUUUGAUACUUUUAGUUAUUCGUGGGCCCAUGUGUUACUGUAAAUUAAAUUUUAUACUUUGGUUAUCUGUAUUACAAUAUAUAUGAAUUUAUUUUACUUUUUUGCUGUAAAAAUUAAUUAUGCAAUGUUCUAAAAAUAUUGUUUUAUGAGAAAAUUGAAUAUUUUAUUCUAUAUCUUUAAUAUAUUCAAAUAGUUAUAAUUUCAUUUUAAAU
rnacentral:lncRNA from 1 species